AGGGUUCGAGUUCUGGCUCAGGAUGAACGCUAGCUACAGGCUUAACACAUGCAAGUCGAGGGGCAGCGAGAGGAAGCUUGCUUCCUGUCGGCGACCGGCGCACGGGUGAGUAACGCGUAUCCAACCUUCCCUUAGUAGGGCAUAGCCCGGCGAAAGUCGGAUUAAUACCCUAUGUUUUCCAAUGAGGACAUCUGAGCUGGAACAAAGAUUUAUCGCUAAGGGAUGGGGAUGCGUCUGAUUAGGUAGUCGGCGGGGUAACGGCCCACCGAGCCUACGAUCAGUAGGGGUUCUGAGAGGAAGGUCCCCCACACUGGUACUGAGACACGGACCAGACUCCUACGGGAGGCAGCAGUGAGGAAUAUUGGUCAAUGGGCGUAAGCCUGAACCAGCCAAGUAGCGUGCAAGGAUGACGGCCCUACGGGUUGUAAACUGCUUUUAUGCGGGGAUAAAGUGCGGCACGUGUGCCGCUUUGCAGGUACCGCAUGAAUAAGGACCGGCUAAUUCCGUGCCAGCCGCCGC
rnacentral:rRNA from 1 species